AUAAGUAACGAUAAUGCGGGUGAAAAACCCGCACGCCGGAAGACCAAGGGUUCCUGUCCAACGUUAAUCGGGGCAGGGUGAGUCGACCCCUAAGGCGAGGCCGAAAGGCGUAGUCGAUGGGAAACAGGUUAAUAUUCCUGUACUUGGUGUUACUGCGAAGGGGGGACGGAGAAGGCUAUGUUAGCCGGGCGACGGUUGUCCCGGUUUAAGCAUGUAGGCGGAGGUUCCAGGUAAAUCCGGUACCUUUUUAACGCUGAGGUGUGAUGACGAGGCACUACGGUGCUGAAGUAACAAAUGCCCUGCUUCCAGGAAAAGCCUCUAAGCAUCAGGUAACACGAAAUCGUACCCCAAACCGACACAGGUGGUCAGGUAGAGAAUACCAAGGCGCUUGAGAGAACUCGGGUGAAGGAACUAGGCAAAAUGGUGCCGUAACUUCGGGAGAAGG
rnacentral:rRNA from 1 species